GAUGAACGCUGGCGGCGUGCUUAAUACAUGCAAGUCGAGCGAACGGACGCUAAGUUUGUUUCUUUGAUGUUAGCCGCGGACGGGUGAGUAACACGUGGAUAAUCCACCUAUCAGUCUGGGAUAACUUCGGGACUCCGGCGCUAACACCGGAUGAGAUCCUGAUCCGUGUGGUUCAAUAGUGAGUGACGGUCUUGCUGUCUCUUAUAGAUGCAUCUGAGCUGGAUUAGCUAGUUGGUAAGGUAACGGCGUAGCAAGGCGACGAUGCAUAGCCGACCUGAGGGGGUGAGCAGCCAGACUGGAAGUGAGACACGGUACAGGGGCCUACGGGAGGCAGCAGUAGGGAAACGGGCGCAAGGGGCGGGAGCCUGACGGCACAGGGCGGAGUGAGUGAUGAGGAACUUCGGAUCGGAGAACACGGUUAUUGGGGAGGAACAUGUGUGUGAGUAACUGGAAGCGUCUUGACGGUAACUGGUCAAAAAGCCACGGCUAACUACGUG
rnacentral:rRNA from 1 species